GAUGAACGCUAGCUACAGGCUUAACACAUGCAAGUCGAGGGGCAGCGCAGUGUAGCAAUACAUGGGCGGCGACCGGCGCACGGGUGCGUAACGCGUAUCCAACCUUCCCGUUACUCAGGGAUAGCCUUCCGAAAGGGAGAUUAAUACCUGAUGGUGUUCAAAUUCCGCAUGUUAUUUGAACUAAAGAUUCAUCGGUAACGGAUGGGGAUGCGUGACAUUAGAUAGUAGGCGGGGUAACGGCCCACCUAGUCUACGAUGUCUAGGGGUUCUGAGAGGAAGGUCCCCCACACUGGAACUGAGACACGGUCCAGACUCCUACGGGAGGCAGCAGUGAGGAAUAUUGGUCAAUGGUCGGAAGACUGAACCAGCCAAGUAGCGUGAAGGAUGAAGGUUCUAUGGAUUGUAAACUUCUUUUAUACGGGAAUAAAACCUCCCACGUGUGGGAGCUUGUAUGUACCGUAUGAAUAAGCAUCGGCUAACUCCGUG
rnacentral:rRNA from 1 species